GAUGAACGCUGGCGGCGUGCCUAAUACAUGCAAGUCGAGCGAACAGACGAGGAGCUUGCUCCUCUGACGUUAGCGGCGGACGGGUGAGUAACACGUGGAUAACCUACCUAUAAGACUGGGAUAACUUCGGGAUACCGGAGCUAAUACCGGAUAAUAUAUUGAACCGCAUGGUUCAAUAGUGAAAGACGGUUUUGCUGUCACUUAUAGAUGGAUCCGCGCCGCAUUAGCUAGUUGGUAAGGUAACGGCUUACCAAGGCGACGAUGCGUAGCCGACCUGAGAGGGUGAUCGGCCACACUGGAACUGAGACACGGUCCAGACUCCUACGGGAGGCAGCAGUAGGGAAUCUUCCGCAAUGGGCGAAAGCCUGACGGAGCAACGCCGCGUGAGUGAUGAAGGUCUUCGGAUCGUAAAACUCUGUUAUUAGGGAAGAACAAAUGUGUAAGUAACUAUGCACGUCCUGACGGUACCUAAUCAGAAAGCCACGGCUAACUACGUG
rnacentral:rRNA from 1 species